rnacentral:tRNA from 1 species
GGAAUGGGUGAAGGAUAAACAUAUAUACUAGUAUAUUAUAUGAGUAAUGACAGCCUUUUGUUUUUUUAAUAGAAAAAACAAAGAAUUGGUGUGAAUAGAUUCUUAGUUGAAGAAAGAAUUGAAUUUUCAUUGAUCGAAUGAUGCACACCAUAGUGUGAUAAAUCUUUUCGAGAACUAAUUAAUUGGACGAGAAUAAAAAUAGAGUCCCAUUCCACAUGUCAAUGCUGGCAGCAACGAAAUUUAUAGUUAAGAGGAAAAUCCGUCGACUUUUAAAAUCGUGAGGGUUCAAGCCCCUCUAUCCCCAAAUAAACUAGUUGACUCCCCAACUAUCUAUUUAUUCUAUCUUUCGUUUUGUUAUCGGUUCAAAAUUCCUUAUCCAUUCACUUUAUUUUUUAGAAUGGAUCGGUGCGGAAAUGCCCUUUUCUUAUCCAUUUAGAUGAUAUACAUACAAAUGAACAUCCUUGAGCAAGAAAUACCCAUUUGAAUGAUUUACAAUCUAUAUAAUUACUAAUACUGAACUGAAACUCCCAAAGUCCUCUUUUUUAAGAUCCAAGUCAAGCAAUUUCCGUACCUAAAUAAAACUUUUGAAUUCCCUUUCUUUCUUUUAAUUGACACAGCCCCCAUUUUCGAGUAAAAUGAGGAUGCUAUGUUACGACUGG